GGACCGGUUAGCUCAGUUGGCUAGAGCGUGGUGCUAAUAACGCCAAAGUCGCGGGUUCGAUCCCCGUACGGGCCA